rnacentral:rRNA from 1 species
AGCAGUCGCCGCGGGAAUACAGAGGGUGCAAGCGUUAAUCGGAAUUACUGGGCGUAAAGCGCGCGUAGGUGGUUUGUUAAGUUGGAUGUGAAAGCCCCGGGCUCAACCUGGGAACUGCAUCCAAAACUGGCAAGCUAGAGUACGGUAGAGGGUGGUGGAAUUUCCUGUGUAGCGGUGAAAUGCGUAGAUAUAGGAAGGAACACCAGUGGCGAAGGCGACCACCUGGACUGAUACUGACACUGAGGUGCGAAAGCGUGGGGAGCAAACAGGAUUAGAUACCCGAGUAGUCCCUGUCUCUUAUAC